GUCUCUAUGGCUUAGUCGGAGAGUGACGGACUCUCACUAGGGAGAUAUCCUAGGAAAAUAGGGUUCGUAUCCCGGGUGGAGACA